rnacentral:rRNA from 1 species
UACGAAGGGGCUAGCGUUGCUCGGAAUCACUGGGCGUAAAGGGUGCGUAGGCGGGUCUUUUAAGUCAGGGUGAAAUCCUGGAGCUCAACUCCAGAACUGCCUUUGAUACUGAAGAUCUUGAGUUCGGGAGAGGUGAGUGGAACUGCGAGUGUAGAGGUGAAAUUCGUAGAUAUUCGCAAGAACACCAGUGGCGAAGGCGGCUCACUGGCCCGAUACUGA